GGCGGAGCGCAUUGUGUUCAAUGCUCACACACACUCCCCGUGGCAGCAUUUUCGAGUAACGGAGUGGCUCUGAUCUGUUGCUGAGCCGCGUUUGAAGCUCCACUACACUGGAGCAGAGCAGCAGGUUUGCCUUCUUCUUCUUCUUCAUCAUCAUCCCUUCCAAACCCAUCAGGCUGAAUCUGCUGUCCAGGAUCCGAGCCCUGCUUGUCGUGGCUGAGCAGGUGAAGAGGAGUCGAGAGGAUGACUGAGUAUAAGCUGGUGGUGGUGGGAGCUGGAGGCGUGGGCAAGAGCGCUCUCACCAUCCAACUCAUCCAGAACCAUUUUGUGGACGAAUAUGACCCUACUAUAGAGGACUCGUACAGGAAGCAGGUGGUGAUUGACGGGGAGACAUGCCUGUUGGACAUCCUGGAUACAGCAGGCCAAGAGGAGUACAGUGCCAUGAGGGACCAGUACAUGAGGACAGGAGAGGGCUUCCUUUGUGUCUUUGCCAUCAAUAACACCAAGUCGUUUGAAGACAUUCAUCAGUACAGGGAACAGAUCAAACGGGUAAAGGACUCCGAUGACGUGCCAAUGGUGCUUGUGGGUAAUAAGUGUGACCUCCCAGCUCGCACAGUGGACACACGGCAAGCGCACGAGCUCGCUCGCAGCUACGGCAUCCCCUACAUUGAGACCUCAGCCAAGACUAGACAAGGAGUGGAGGAUGCCUUCUACACACUAGUACGGGAGAUCCGACAGCACAAGAUGAGGAAGCUCAAUCCUCCAGACGAAAGCGGGCAGGACUGUAUGAGCUGCCGCUGCGUGGUGUCAUGAUUUAAGUUUUGAGGGUCCACCACCAGGGGGUGCUGCCGCACCCCCCGCACCCCCGGUUCCCGCGCCGGUGUGAAAGACCGACUACAAUAAUGGAAAGUGAGAAGAAAAGACAUUAAGGAAAGGAAACGCAGGACCAAACUAAUAAAUAUCGGCGGUCAGCGAGCACCUCGGUGUGAUCAGCUGUUCGUUUAGCGACAGAAUGAUGGAACUGUCAGUGCACGGUCAAGGUCUUGACCUCUCCAAGUUAAUAGGUUAAUAAGUGGACUAAUGGCUCCAUGAGGCAGAGUGGACUAUAGACUGUAAUUACACCUGGAGAUCAGAAUAAAAGCCAAGUAAAGCAACGAUUGCAAAAUGGACAUUUGAGGAAAGACGUUGCCUUGCUGUGACUAUGGUGACCCCCUCUGGCUGUCUACAUCUGUCGGAAAAAAAAACCCAAUUAAUGACUUGUAUUGGUUUUCCUAUUCAUUAACUUCCAAGUGCUAAUACUGGGCAGCUCCUUGGAUUUCAUCUAAUUUAUUAUACUCAUGUCUCAACACUGGCUUUUAUUUGGAAGUCAGGCCUUUUGUGACUAAGCACGAACAAAUGCUCUUCUCAUAUGGACUGGACACUAAUCGCCUCAUCACAGACGUCAUGUUCUGCUCUGUUGCUGUCUGAGGGAAGCAUGCAAAUAUAUAAAUGAGGAAUCUGCCAAAUGCCGAGAGAACAAUCCAACAUCCCAGACAGGAUUUACUCCCUCUCUUGACAUUUAGACAUAUUUGUUCUGCUUAACAUGCUGUUGUUUUAACAUGUAACUGUUGUGAAAAAGGAUAGUUGUGGUGAUAACCAUGGGGACUGUAAUCUGCUGCAGCACUAGAUACUGUAUGUGUGAUGGUUUUUGUGUAUGUGUUUGAAAAGGAGAACCAUUGAUGGAAAUGCUGAACAGACUGACCAGUUACUAGAUUCCAAUAAAAACAUUUCAAGGAC